rnacentral:rRNA from 1 species
AUUGAACGCUGGCGGAAUGCUUUACACAUGCAAGUCGAACGGUAGAGGGGGCAACCCCUCGAGAGUGGCGAACGGGUGAGUAAUAUAUCGGAACGUGCCUAGUCGGGGGGGAUAACGUAGCGAAAGUUACGCUAAUACCGCAUACGAUCUAAGGAUGAAGGCGGGGGAUCGCAAGACCUCGCGCGAUUGGAGCGGCCGAUAGCAGAUUAGGUAGUUGGUGGGGUAAAGGCUCACCAAGCCAACGAUCUGUAGCUGGUCUGAGAGGACGACCAGCCACACUGGAACUGAGACACGGUCCAGACUCCCACGGGAGGCAGCAGUGGGGAAUUUUGGACAAUGGACGCAAGUCUGAUCCAGCCAUUCCGCGUGCAGGAUGAAGGCCCUCGGGUUGUAAACUGCUUUUGUACGGAACGAAAAGGUCUCUCUUAAUACGGGGGGCUCAUGACGGUACCGUAAGAAUAAGCACCGGCUAACUACGUGCCAGCCGCCGCAUAA